rnacentral:rRNA from 1 species
GCUUUUGUUACCGGGAAUAAACCUUGAUUUCUGAAUCAAGCUGAAUGUACGGUAAGAAUUAACGGAUCGGCUAACUACCGUCGC